AAGAGUCAGCGCUGCAGCAAUGGCGGCUCCCAUGUCCUGGAGGAGGCUGGUGCACUCCGUGUACUCACCGGCCAUCGCCGGGGUUUUCACCCGGAUAUCGGACCGGCUCUUCCGUGCACGGGACAGACGAGGCGGCUCCUCCGUGCUGCUGCUCGCUCCCCUGCUGGCCGAAGCCGACCCGGCCCCGUAUCGCAUCACAAGGCCCACAGGGUCAGCCGGAGCUCAGGGCAGCGCAGACGGCCUCUGCGCCCACUUCAAAUGGAUGGCAGAGCACGUUCCCGCCUUCAGGGUGCCGGGAACCCACAUCCACAUUCUCAGAUCACCCGACCAGUUCUACCAGACCAUGAAGGCACGAAUCAAGACCGCAAAGAGGCGAGUGGUGAUGGCCUCCUUGUAUCUGGGAACAGGUCAGCUGGAGCAGGAGAUGGUGGACUGUAUGGAGGAAGCUCUCCAGCGCUCACAGGACCACAGUCACUCCCCUGACCUGAAGGUCUCCAUACUCCUGGACUACACCCGCGGAUCACGAGGGCAGAUCAACUCGAGGACCAUGCUGCUGCCGCUGCUGCAGCGCUUCACCUCUCAGAUGCGCGUCUCCCUGUACCACACGCCGGACCUGAGGGGCCUGCUGCGGAUGCUCGUGCCCCAGCGCUUCAACGAGACCAUCGGCGUCCAGCACAUCAAAGUCUACCUGUUCGACGACAGCAUCAUCAUCAGCGGGGCCAACCUGAGCGACUCGUACUUCACCAACAGACAGGACCGCUACGUGCUGCUGGAGAACUGCAGGGAGGUCGCCGACUUCUUCUCCGACCUGGUGGAGGCUGUGGGGGACGUUUCCCUGCAGCUGCAGCCCGACGACUCGGUCAACAUGCUGGAGGGCAUGGUGCAUCCGUACAAAGGCAACAGACAGGACUUCUCAACAGUGGCGAGGGAACGCAUCAUGGAGGUCAUGAACACGGCCCACACGAGGCAGCGACUCCUUAACCGGUGGGAGGACUCUGAGGACGAGGGGAUGAGCGAGGGGGAGGAGGACACGUGGGUGUUCCCUCUGGUGCAGAUGAGACCUCUGGGCAUCCAGGUGGACGAGCAGGUCACACAGCGCUUGCUGACAGACGCGGGGCCCGACUCCACCGUUUUCCUAACGUCCGGCUACUUCAACCUGACGCGGGCGUACAUGCGGCUGGUGCUCGGAGCCGGGACCAACUACCGCAUCCUCACCGCCUCCCCCGAGGUCAACGGCUUCUUCGGGGCGAAGGGCGUCGCCGGGGCGAUCCCCGCCGCAUACGUCCACAUCGCCAGGCAGUUUUACAACCAGGUGUGCCAGCUGGGCCAACAGGAGAGGGUUCACCUGCACGAGUACCACAGGCCGCAGUGGACGUUCCACGCCAAAGGUCUGUGGUAUUACCUCCAGGGGCAGGAUCGGCCUUGCCUCACUCUAAUUGGCUCCCCCAAUUUCGGUUACCGCUCAGUUCACCGUGACCUGGAGGCCCAAAUCGCCAUAGUAACGGAGAAUGAGGAGCUGCAGAGCCAGCUGCAGGAGGAGCAGGAGUCGUUGUACCAGCGCUCCAGCGAGGUGUCCAGCUCCACGUUCGAGCGGCCGGACCGCCACGUCAAGCUGUGGGUGAAACUCGUCACUCCCCUCAUCAAGAAUUUCUUCUGAGACGCCAUCAGAUUCUAUAUGGGAUUUUUGCCUAGUUGACAAAAUAGAGCCUUGAAAACACACACACACAGAAAAACACACACACACACGCAGUAAAACAGGCUGUGGCUUCUUAGAAAUGUCUGCAGUCAUUGUGGCGAGUCCCAAAUCACAGGUCCCGUCCUCGUCUUCCCAGCAGCCCAGGAAUCACUGAAGUGAGAGCUGGGACAUCGUGCCGGCUGAUUCACUCGUGUCAAGAAGAGAAAGGCUGUUUUGUAUUAUCUCUGUUGGAGGUUGGUCCGCUCCAGAACGAGCCGGGAGUCGCCCUCUUCGUGCUUCACAUCGACCACAACCCUCGUCAGUGACUCACACAUGCACUCACACUCACACUCACAGGAGCGGAGAGAAGUGGAGAAUCCUCUGUUUUUCAUUUAAGUUCCAGAUCCUGCAUAUCGAUAACUCCGUUAUAUAUUAACUCAUCUUUCUGUGGACUUCUGGUUGCAUAUGACUGACUACAAACAUUUAAAAAAAAAGAAAAACUACUUCUCCCCCCUGCACGCACAUCCCUACAGGUUCAUGUUGCAUGUGUAAGAAAGCAAUAGAGGACUGGAUCAGUGAGUGUCCCCGAUGUAAUUGAGGUGAACAGACGGGUGUGGUGAAGAAUUGCGAUUCCUCAAGGAGCCUUAAUGACAGUUUUUAAGAGAUCGGAGUGUGUUUACAGCUCUGCCCACAGCAGUAAUCAGAGUUUAACUGUACAGUGUCUGUGUGUUAUUAUCUUUGUAAAUUAAAGGAUGAAGUGCUGAGUUUUUCAAUCA